UUGCGUUUCAAACUGGCUAAUUUUACAACAAUGCGAGAUUAGAUUGGUUACUGAGUCGAAGGUCCCUACUAAACGACUUUUGAUUGGGCAGCGCGUUUCUCUGGUAACAGUAAACGGAAACAACAUUGAACUCGGUGUCGUCUAAAAUGAUGGUCAUGUACUUUUGCGUGUCAUGUUGUAACAAUUGGAUUUAACUAGAUAACUAAAUAGCAAGUUGUAGUAGCGCCAUACGUUUACAAUACUAGCUAGCUGUAUCGAGACAGACUAUUUGAUGACAAUGGAUUUUACUCCAUAUUAUAUGCCUAAAUGAAUUAGUGAGAUCUGGAGCCAUGCUUGCUAGUUGCUGGUAUUCUUCGCUGAUCAGAGGAAUGAACUAAAGAAAAUAAACCGUCACAAGAGACACAAUGUCACAAUGACAAGUGAAAUGAAGCCGGAAAUGCACCUCCACCCCCAAUCCGAGACUGUAUACCCUGUUUCCAACAGACGAUGUGGUUCAGGGAUUGGACUACAGCCACACUAAGACACUCAAGUCAUCAUCGGAUACUAGCAUACAAGAGAAAGAGUUGGCGCAGAAGAUAAUGCUUACCACAGGCAGUGCAGUGCCCUUUCUCAAAACACUCAUUCUUGUAUUGGAAAGAGGUUAUAAACUACAGUUGAUAGGGGUGAGAUUAAACUGUGUAUUACCGUGUAUUACUAGAUCCCAUUUGUAAAUGCCACCUUUGUUUGAGAUAGAGGAAAUGCACCUGGGCCUGUGUUGAAAUGGGAUGCAGCUCACAUCCUCUUCUAGUCUGUAAGAGGUUCAAUCUGUUCCAGGACAAUAAUCACAAUCCAUUUGACUUUCCUCCCCCUGGUAUUUUAGCUCAGGUACGUGAGACUAUUCAGGACCUUGAAAUAGUAGACAAUAGAGAAAUUAGAGAAUAAUGCCCGGGGCUAAAACUGAUUGAAAAAGUAUU